GCGCUUGUAGUAUAGUGGUAAUAUGCUAGCUUCCCAAGUUAGCGUCCCGGGUUCAAUUCCCGGCAGGCGCA
rnacentral:tRNA from 1 species